GACGAACGCUGGCGGCGUGCCUAAUACAUGCAAGUAGGACGCAGUUGCGAACGGGUGAGUAACGCGUAGGUAACUGCCUAUUAGAGGGGGAUAACUAUUGGAAACGAUAGCUAAUACCGCAUACUAGUAGAUGGACCUGCGUUGUAUUAGCUAGUAGGUAGGGUAAUGGGCUAACAAGGCAACGAGCACUAGCCGACGUUAGACGGUGAUGGGCCACACUGGGACUGAGAAACGGCCCAGACUCCUACGGGAGGCAGCAGUAGGGAAGCUUCGGCAAUGGGGGGAACACUGACCGAGCAACGCCGCGUGAGUGAAGAAGGUUUUCGGAUCGUAAAGGUCUGUUGUUAAGGAAGCGUUACUUAACCAGAAAGGGACGGCUAACUACGUGCCAGCAGCCGCGGUAAUAC
rnacentral:rRNA from 1 species